UGGAAACAUCCGAGGAGCACGUGAAUGCAGCAGAAGCCUUGAGGAGUCGCUCGAACUGAAGGUAGCUUGAGGAGGAUUCUGACAUGUAAAUUGUUUAUAAGCCUCUCAAAACACUCCUGCGACUGAAUCCACUUAUUGUCUGUUAGCACGCAAAAGUAUCCGGACCCCCUUAAUACACCCACGGAUGUAUGACUGCAACUGAAAUGUAGUUUGCAAAGAUAAGGGCUAGUAUGGAGAAAAAGAGAAGAAAUGGAGACGGACUGGUACCUGGAGGUGGCUGAGCGCGGUCCACACUGCAGGAAGUAGGGAGACGAAACUGAAUCCCUGCAAGGAGCAAACACCAGUUAGAAAGAACAAAUGCAGCCAAUGAGAAGAAAAGUUUGCAGCCUUCUUGGAAAUGUUGUGGCAGGGAAGUUGGAUCAAGAAUAGGACUGUGAUACUCCUCCUGGUGUUUGGAAGACAGUGGGAGAAGGGUUGGAGGGAGAGGCUUUUGUAGAGACUACUCAGGAGGAGUGAUGUUCUGCCAGUGCUGCCUCAAUUCUCACUCAGUCCCUCCAGGAUUUUGCAGCCCAAAAUGCCUGAUUUUGCGGGAGCGUUUGUAAAAAAUUGCAAUAAAAGUUGCAAUGUCUUUUGUA